rnacentral:rRNA from 1 species
GACAGAGGUGGCAAGCGUUGCUCGGGUUUACUGGGCUUAAAGGGCGCGUAGGCGGCUUUAUAAGUCCGAGGGGGAAUUCCACAGCUUAACUGUGGAACUGCCUUGGAAACUAUCAGGCUUGAGUCAGGUAGAGGAGGGCGGCAUUCCCGGUGUAGCGGUGAAAUGCGUGGAUAUCGGGAGGAAGGCCGGUGGCGAAAGCGGCCCACUGGGCCUGUACCUCCGCUGAGGCGCGAAAGUGUGGGGAGCAAACAGG